GGAAGUAACUUUGCUCAGUGGAAGAGCAUCUGCUUUGCAUGCAGAAGUCCCAGGCUCAAACUCCCGCAUCUCCA